GAAGUUGACAGGCUGUUUCCUGCUCCAUGAUCUGUGAAUCACGACGUGAACGCCGAUCGCUGCUCCCCGGUGAAAUUAAAUUAGACAUAUGGCCAUUGGGAAUUUACACACCUUUGUCACUGCAGUGUACUCUGAGCAAGGAGGCAUCAAAGGGGCACAUCUGAAAGC